AACGAACGCUGGCGGCAGGCUUAACACAUGCAAGUCGAACGAUGUAGCAAUACAUAGUGGCGCACGGGUGAGUAACGCGUGGGAAUAUACCUUAUAGUGGGGAAUAACUUCGGGAAACUGAAGCUAAUACCGCAUACGCCCGAGAGGGGAAAGAUUUAUCGCUAUAAGAUUAGCCCGCGUGAGAUUAGGUAGUUGGUGGUGUAAUGGCCUACCAAGCCGACGAUCUCUAGCUGGGCUGAGAGGAUGAUCAGCCACACUGGAACUGAGACACGGUCCAGACUCCUACGGGAGGCAGCAGUGGGGAAUAUUGGACAAUGGGCGAAAGCCUGAUCCAGCCAUGCCGCGUGAAUGAUGAAGGCCUUAGGGUUGUAAAGUUCUUUCGCCGAUGAAGAUAAUGACGGUAGUCGGAGAAGAAGCCCCGGCUAACUUCGUGCCAGCAGCCGCAGUAA
rnacentral:rRNA from 1 species